UAACCUACCUAUAAGACGUGGGAUAACGUACCGGGGAAACCGGGGACUAAUACCGAUAAUUAUUUUGAACCGCAUGGUUCAAUAGUGAAAGACGGUUUCGGCUGUCACUUUAUAGAUGGACCCGCGCCGUAUUAGCUAGUUGGUAAGGUAACGGCUUACCAAGGCGACGAUACGUAGCCGACCUGAGAGGGUGAUCGGCCACACUGGAACUGAGACACGGUCCAGACUCCUACGGGAGGCAGCAGAC
rnacentral:rRNA from 1 species